rnacentral:rRNA from 1 species
AUUGAACGCUGGCGGCAUGCCUUACACAUGCAAGUCGAACGGCAGCACGGGAGCAAUCCUGGUGGCGAGUGGCGAACGGGUGAGUAAUAUAUCGGAACGUGCCCAGUCGUGGGGAUAACGUAGCGAAAGCUACGCUAAUACCGCAUACGAUCUAUGGAUGAAAGCGGGGGAUCGCAAGACCUCGCGCGAUUGGAGCGGCCGAUAUCAGAUUAGGUAGUUGGUGAGGUAAAGGCUCACCAAGCCGACGAUCUGUAGCUGGUCUGAGAGGACGACCAGCCACACUGGGACUGAGACACGGCCCAGACUCCUACGGGAGGCAGCAGUGGGGAAUUUUUGGACAAUGGGCGCAAGCCUGAUCCAGCAAUGCCGCGUGCAGGAUGAAGGCCUUCGGGUUGUAACGUAG